AUUUAAAGAGAGAACAGCUGUAAUGCUAAUGUGAGAAGAGUUCACGCUUCUAUCACGGAAGAGACACCAGAGACCUUGCUCUCUCUCUGCCAUAUGAGGACAAGUGAGAAGACAGCCAUCAGCAAGCCGGGAAGAGCACUCUCAUGCGAAACCCAUCCUGCUGGACCUUGAUCCUGGACUUCCAGCCUCCAGAACAGAGAAAAUAAGUUUCUGCUGCUCACAGUACCAGUCUGCAGCCUGAAGUUCUGCACCUGACAAAAGAAGUUGCUGAACAGAUGAGGGAAGGAGAGGAGAGAUUAAGCAAAUUCCACCUAAUUCUAGGCACGUGCUUGUGAUAUAAGGUAUCAUGCCUCUUGGUGUAUUAUUCUUCGAUCAAGAUUGCCUGACUUCAAAUGAAGAACUCCACUUCAGAGCUCUGCUUAAAUAUAAGACUAUUACCUGAGGAAUUAGUACUAGGCUGAUUUUCAGUUAUGUGUCCUGGUAUUAAUAAAUCCUUGUU